GGCGGCGUGCCUAACACAUGCAAGUCGAGCGGUAACAGGUGUAGCAAUACAUGCUGACGAGCGGCGAACGGGUGAGUAAUGCUUUGGAAUCUUCCCAGUAGUGGGGAAUAACCAGUCGAAAGAUUGGCUAAUACCGCAUACGUCUGUAAAGGGAAAGCGGGGGCUCGUAAGACCUCGCGCUAUUGGAUGAGCCAAAGUCGGAUUAGCUAGUUGGUGGGGUAAUGGCCUACCAAGGCGACAAUCCGUAGCUGGUCUGAGAGGACGACCAGCCACACCGGAACUGAGACACGGUCCGGACUCCUACGGGAGGCAGCAGUGGGGAAUAUUGGACAAUGGGGGAAACCCUGAUCCAGCGACGCCGCGUGUGUGAAGAAGGCCUGCGGGUUGUAAAGCACUUUUAGUGGGGACAAAAAGCUACGGAUUAAUACUCUGUGGUCUUGAUUUAACCCAAAGAAAAAGCACCGGCUAACUCUGUGCCAGCAGCCGCGGUAAUACAGAGGGUGCGAGCGUUAAUCGGAAUUACUGGGCGUAAAGCGCGCGUAGACGGUUUUGUAAGUCAGAUGUGAAAUCCCUGGGCUCAACCUGGGAACUGCAUUUGAAACUGCAUGGCUAGA
rnacentral:rRNA from 1 species